rnacentral:rRNA from 1 species
GACAUAGGGUGCGAACGUUGCUCGGAAUCACUGGGCGUAAAGCGCGUGUAGGCGGCCAGGUAGGUCCGAUGUGAAAACUGGAGGCUCAACCUCCAGCUGUCAUUGGAAACCAUCUGGCUAGAGUCCGGAAGAGGAGAGUGGAAUUCCUGGUGUAGCGGUGAAAUGCGCAGAUAUCAGGAAGAACACCGAUGGCGAAGGCAGCUCUCUGGGACGGUACUGACGCUGAGGUGCGAAAGCGUGGGGAGCAAACAGG